rnacentral:rRNA from 1 species
AUACGGAGGAUCCGAGCGUUAUCCGGAUUUAUUGGGUUUAAAGGGUGCGCAGGCGGGAGAUUAAGUCGGCGGUGAAAUUUUGCAGCUCAACUGUAAAAGUGCCUUCGAAACUGGUUUCCUUGAGUGUAGAUGAAGUAGGCGGAAUUUGUGGUGUAGCGGUGAAAUGCAUAGAUAGCACGAGGAACUCCGAUUGCGCAGGCAGCUUACUAAACUACUACUGACGCUCAGGCACGAAGGCGUGGGGAUCAAACAGGAUUAGAUACCCUGGUAGGCCACGCAGUAAACGAUGAUUACUAGCUGUUUGCGAUACAAUGUAAGCGGCUGAGCGAAAGCGUUAAGUAAUCCACCUGGGGAGUACGUUCGCAAGAAUGAAACUCAAAUGAAUUGACGGGG